rnacentral:tRNA from 1 species
GGGUGAUUACCCAAGUCCGGCUGAAGGGAGCAGUCUUGAAAAUCGCUGUAAGAUUUCUUCCACUGCGGGGGUUCAAAUCCCUCAUCACCCGCCA